rfam:Gossypium arboreum cultivar AKA8401 contig_568_5, whole genome shotgun sequence.
UAUUAAAAAUUUCAGCCAUUUCUAUUGUUAGAAACUGAGUGGCUGACAAAAUAACUAAAUAGACGUGUACCUCAUUCUGACAUAUAAGGACCGGUUUUUAAUAGUUAAAAUGAAUUAAAUUUUUAGCA